GACGAACGCUGGCGGCGUGCUUAACACAUGCAAGUCGAACGGAAAGGCCUCAGCUUGCUGUGGUACUCGAGUGGCGAACGGGUGAGUAACACGUGGGUGAGCUGCCUUGCACUCUGGGAUAAGCUUCGGAAAGUGGGUCUAAUACCGGAUAUGAACUGCCUUUAGGGUGGUGGUUGGAAAGUUUUUUCGUUGCAAGAUGAGCUCGCGGCCUAUCGGCUUGUUGGGGGGGUAAUGGCCUACCAAGGCGAGGACGGGUAGCCGGCCUGAGGGGGUGUACGGCCACAUUGGGACUGAGAUACGGCCCAGACGCCGACGGGAGGAAGCAGUGGGGAAUAUUGCACAAGGGGCGGAAGCCUGAUGCAGAGACGCCGCGUGGGGGAUGACGGCCUUCGGGUUGUAAACUCCUUUCGACAGGGAAGCAGCUUUUUGUGACGGUACCUGUAUAAGAAGCACCGGCUAACUACGUG
rnacentral:rRNA from 1 species